AUGGACGUCGACAAAUUAUAAAUCAAUGUUUUUCUCCAAAUACAAUUGACCAUUGUUUUGUCAACGAAUCAUUCAAGACGAAGCAUUAUACGUAUGAUUUCAACUCAAUUUGUACUCAUAAAAUGAAUAAAUAUGAGUGCGUUAACAAUGGAAGUCACAUAUUGCUUUUGUUUUGGAAUAGUUAUAUAACGUGAUUAGUAUAUCGACUUGUAUAUUUUUAAUUAAAAUUGUCUUCCUGUGUAAAUGAACUUGAAUCUAUUUUUAUAACAUUUAGGUUCGUACACCAUGUACAACUUAUGCAGUUCUGAAUAA
rnacentral:lncRNA from 1 species